rnacentral:lncRNA from 1 species
GGCACAUGCAGUCCUGAGGCAGCAUUUAGCAGUCUUACUCUACCUCCGGCUCCAAGGACGUUCUUUCCAUUGCUUUGCUGCUGUGCUGUCUAAACCUUGGAGAGGGAAGCCUGGUGGAGCUGAGGUCACAUUCAGGGCUGAACACUCAGGCACUGUCAGCAGUUUGGUAGCCGGCCUGUGAGUGACUUCUAAAAGCCACGCAUUCACUACAAGUUCUGAUUUCAACCCCAUGGUACAGUUAGCCAUAGACCUCACGUCCUCGGGAGACCUCACACCUCAGUAAGCAAUUCAGGUGCUUUAGUUACCAUGAGAUCCUACUGCCCUCGUCGGAUGCUCGAUGCGCUUCCAGUUCAGAGCCAAGGAUAUAAAGGUCUGUGUCAGAAUAAUGGUGAAUCUGCCAGAAUGAGUGCAAGCCAAACACCCCAUUUCUUGGUGCUACAACCCGAAUAAAACAUAUUAGCCGUUCCCUCCAGGAUGUGGAAGGCAGGUGGUGACAAGUUUCGGGAAUCAGUUCUUUUCGUCCACUGUGGAAUCCGGGAUUUGAACCAGGUCACCAGGUUUGAGCAGCAGGCAUGUUUACCAGCUGAGCCAUUUCUUUGGUUCGGGUGCUGAGGAUGGUCUUUGGGAGAUUGUGGAAACUUUAGCAGCCAGAGCACUGCCGGAGGAAGUGCGUCACUGAGGACGGUGGGCUGUACCCUGCUGGAGGAAGAAAAUAAGUAAGAGACUCUUAGGAUGGAAGAAGGAUGAAAACUCAGCCGAGGAAGUUCUUCUUGGGGCUCUGAAUCCUGGGUACUAUUUGGGGAUGCAUUUGCAUUUCUGGAAUCUAUGGGUGUCGAGAUGGUCAGAGAGCUACCAUAUUAGAGCAGAAAAACAUAACAAGGGAAGAGAUGCAACUUAGGGAGAUGACGGAGACAUCUGUCGGCGGACCUGAGUUCCCAGCACCUAAGUCAGGAUGCUCGCGACUUCUGUGAUGCCAGCUCCAAGGGAUCUAACGCCCUCUUCUGGACUCCAGGGAUCCCUGUAGGAUAGAGGAGGGUGAGCGGCAACCUUGGAUACACUCAAACCGCUCGGGAACGGAUGCUCAUCUCACCUGCCAGCCUCCUGCAAUGCCAAGUUGUUCUGCGGCCCAACUGGCGUUGUAACCAAUGAAUUCAAGCCCUGCCAAUCAAACAGCUACCGCAUCAGAAGCAGGCUUACCUUUUACCAUGGACCAAUGAUGCUGUCACAUUCCAAGUCCAUCAGGAUGAAUCCAUUCACAUCAGAGCAGCCAUAUUUCACUGGACCUUUGAGACAGCCUCACAGACACCAGCAGGAUGUCAGCUCACAGGUGGAGAAGGACUCCCCCAACUCUAGGACUCUCUCAGUGGUUAUCAUGGCGUUCCUGGCGUGUUAUUCUCACGUGGCCUUCUAUCUUCAUCAGCGGGAGCGUGGGCAUGAAGUGUGUUCUCAUGCGCACAGGACCUGGGACUCAGCCGGGAAAGCGGAUGCCAGUGUGACUGUGACAGGCAGAUGAGGCUAUCAGUUGGAAAAGUCAGGUGAUAGAGUCUCGCAGACUCUUACUUCAGGGACAACCACCACAAUCCCGUGGUUAGCUCCAUUUGGCAGCUUGAUCGUGUGCCACGCGUGAAAGAGAUGCUAUGCUAUGCAGCAGGAAUCGAUCUUGCAGGCUGGCCUCCUGAACUGAAAAGCAGGACAGACCCAUGCGUGAAGUCAGGGGCUCCCUGGGGCAUCUAGUAGGCUGCAGGGUGUUCCUGUUCUUCUCGGGUGACUUACAUGCUGUUCACCCCCUCUCCUGUGCUAACCCAUCCCUUGUGGUGCCCCAAGGAGAUAAGGACCUCUGUUGGCUCCCUCAUUUCUUUCGUGUUUGUGGCUACUGAGGCACAGAGGUUACCUGGUUGCCAUGGUAACUUGGUGGACAGCUGAUGUCCAAGGUUGCCUUCUCCCGCUGUAAUAAACACCACGACCAAAAGCGACCUGAGGA